CCUACGGGCGGCAGCAGUGAGGAAUAUUGGUCAAUGGGCGGAAGCCUGAACCAGCCAAGUCGCGUGAGGGAAUAAGGCCCUACGGGUCGUAAACCUCUUUUGCCGGGGAGCAAGGGCGGGGACGUGUCCCGUCCCGGAGAGUACCCGGAGAAAAAGCAUCGGCUAACUCCGUGCCAGCAGCCGGGGUAAUACGGAGGGUGCGAGCGUUAUCCGGAUUUAUUGGGUUUAAAGGGUGCGUAGGCGGGCCUUUAAGUCAGCGGUAAAAAUUCGGGGCUCAACCCCGUCCGGCCGUUGAAACUGGGGGCCUUGAGUGGGUGAGAAGAAGGCGGAAUGCGUGGUGUAGCGGUGAAAUGCAUAGAUAUCACGCAGAACCCCGAUUGCGAAGGCAGCCUUCCGGCGCCCUACUGACGCUGAGGCACGAAAGUGCGGGGAUCGAACAGGAUUAGAUACCCUGGUAGUC
rnacentral:rRNA from 1 species